UACGUAGGUGGCGAGCGUUGUCCGGAAUGACUGGGCGUAAAGGGAGCGUAGGUGGCGAUUUAAGUUAGAUGUGAAAGCCCGUGGCUCAACCACGGAACUGCAUUUAAAACUGGAUUGCUAGAGUACAGGAGGGGUAAGCGGAAUUUCUAGUGUAGCGGUGGAAUGCUUAGAUAUUAGGAAGAACACCAGAGGCGAAGGCGGCUUACUGGACUGCGACUGACGCUCAGGCACGAAAGUGUGGGUAUCGAACAGG
rnacentral:rRNA from 1 species